AGAGUUUGAUCCUGGCUCAGGAUGAACGCUAGCUACAGGCUUAACACAUGCAAGUCGAGGGGCAGCAUUUUAGUUUGCUUGCAAACUGAAGAUGGCGACCGGCGCACGGGUGAGUAACACGUAUCCAACCUGCCGAUAACUCCGGAAUAGCCUUUCGAAAGAAAGAUUAAUACCGGAUAGCAUACGAAUAUCGCAUGAUAUUUUUAUUAAAGAAUUUCGGUUAUCGAUGGGGAUGCGUUCCAUUAGUUUGUUGGCGGGGUAACGGCCCACCAAGACUACGAUGGAUAGGGGUUCUGAGAGGAAGGUCCCCCACAUUGGAACUGAGACACGGUCCAAACUCCUACGGGAGGCAGCAGUGAGGAAUAUUGGUCAAUGGACGAGAGUCUGAACCAGCCAAGUAGCGUGAAGGAUGACUGCCCUAUGGGUUGUAAACUUCUUUUAUAUGGGAAUAAAGUGUUCCACGUGUGGGAUUUUGUAUGUACCAUAUGAAUAAGGAUCGGCUAACUCCGUGCCAGCAGCCGCGGUAAUACGGAGGAUCCGAGCGUUAUCCGGAUUUAUUGGGUUUAAAGGGAGCGUAGGCGGACUAUUAAGUCAGCUGUGAAAGUUUGCGGCUCAACCGUAAAAUUGCAGUUGAUACUGGUCGUCUUGAGUGCAGUAGAGGUAGGCGGAAUUCGUGGUGUAGCGGUGAAAUGCUUAGAUAUCACGAAGAACUCCGAUUGCGAAGGCAGCCUGCUAAGCUGCAACUGACAUUGAGGCUCGAAAGUGUGGGUAUCAAACAGGAUUAGAUACCCUGGUAGUCCACACGGUAAACGAUGAAUACUCGCUGUUUGCGAUAUACUGCAAGCGGCCAAGCGAAAGCGUUAAGUAUUCCACCUGGGGAGUACGCCGGCAACGGUGAAACUCAAAGGAAUUGACGGGGGCCCGCACAAGCGGAGGAACAUGUGGUUUAA
rnacentral:rRNA from 1 species